AUUGAACGCUGGCGGCAGGCCUAACACAUGCAAGUCGAGCGGAUGAAGGGAGCUUGCUCCUGGAUUCAGCGGCGGACGGGUGUGUAAUGCCUAGGAAUCUGCCUGGUAGUUGGGGAUAACGUCCGGAAACGGGCGCUAAUACCGCAUACGACCUGAGGGAGAAAGUGGGGGUUCUUCGGACCUCACGCUUUCAGAUGAGCCUAGGUCGGAUUAGCUAGUUGGUGGGGUAACGGCCUACCAAGGCGACGAUCCGUAACUGGUCUGAGAGGAUGAUCAGUCACACUGGAACGGAGACGAGGCACAGACUACUACGGGAGGCAGCAGAGGGGAAUAGUAGACUAUGGGCGGAAGCCUGGUCCAGCCAAGCCGCGUGGGGUGAAAAGAGACUCGGAUAGUAAAUGUCAUCUAGUUGGGAGGAAGGGCAGUCAGAUAAUCCCGUGCUGAGUUGACGGUACCGAAAGAAUAAGCACCGGCUAACCUCGUG
rnacentral:rRNA from 1 species